CCCUGUCACCUUGAGUGACCUAAAGGAGCGUUUAAGACUAAGACGUUGAUAGGCUGGGUGUGUAAGCGUAGCGAUACGUUGAGCUAACCAGUACUAAUGAACCGUGAGGCUUAACCUGACAACACCGAAGGUGUUU
rnacentral:rRNA from 1 species